rnacentral:tRNA from 1 species
GGUGGCUCAGUGAUAGAGCACUUGCCUUGCACGCAUGGGACCCUGGGUUCGAUUCCUUAGCACCA